GUCGAACGGUAACAGGAAGCAGCUUGCUGCUUCGCUGACGAGUGGCGGACGGGUGAGUAAUGUCUGGGAAACUGCCUGAUGGAGGGGGAUAACUACUGGAAACGGUGGCUAAUACCGCAUAACGUCGCAAGACCAAAGAGGGGGACCUUCGGGCCUCUUGCCAUCAGAUGUGCCCAGAUGGGAUUAGCUAGUUGGUGAGGUAACGGCUCACCAAGGCGACGAUCCCUAGCUGGUCUGAGAGGAUGACCAGCCACACUGGAACUGAGACACGGUCCAGACUCCUACGGGAGGCAGCAGUGGGGAAUAUUGCACAAUGGGCGCAAGCCUGAUGCAGCCAUGCCGCGUGUAUGAAGAAGGCCUUCGGGUUGUAAAGUACUUUCAGCGGGGAGG
rnacentral:rRNA from 2 species